UACGAAGGGAGCUAGCGUUGUUCGGAAUCACUGGGCGUAAAGCGCACGUAGGCGGAUUUGUCAGUCAGGGGUGAAAUCCCGGGGACCUCAACCUCGGAACUGCCUUUGAUACAGCAAGUCUUGAGUUCGAGAGAGGUGGGUGGAAUUCCUAGUGUAGAGGUGAAAUUCGUAGAUAUUAGGAAGAACACCGGUGGCGAAGGCGGCCCACUGGCUCGAUACUGACGCUGAGGUGCGAAAGCGUGGGGAGCGAACAGG
rnacentral:rRNA from 1 species